UACGGGGGGGGCAAGCGUUGUUCGGAAUUACUGGGCGUAAAGGGCUCGUAGGUGGCCAACUAAGUCAGACGUGAAAUCCCUCGGCUUAACCGGGGAACUGCGUCUGAUACUGGAUGGCUUGAGUUCGGGAGAGGGAUGCGGAAUUCCAGGUGUAGCGGUGAAAUUCGUAGAUAUUCGGAGGAACACCAGUGGCGAAGGCGGCUCACUGGUCCAUUACUGACGCUGAGGUGCGAAAGCGUGGGGAGCAAACAGG
rnacentral:rRNA from 1 species